AAUAAUCCCUUUCUUGUAGGUGCUUCCCAAGCAUUCAAAGAGGAGAAGAAGUUAAGCGGAUCCCAGCGUGAAGGACCAGGUGGAGCGAAGGUUAACGCAGGAUCUGCCCCAGCCAAGCCACCGAGUCCUGUUGCAGAAACAUUCAGAGUUAUUCAGGGGGCAAUGAGCGAAGAGUAUGUGAGAGCGACUCAGGGUGUCUUUCAGUUUGAAUUAUCUGGUGAUGACGGAGGCACUUGGUAUAUUGACCUGAAAACCAAGGGUGGGAGCGCUGGUUUCGGAAAGCCUCCUGUGACGGCUGACGUGGUUAUGAGCAUGUCGAGUGCCGACUUUGUGAAAAUGUUCACAGGU